rnacentral:lncRNA from 1 species
ACCUUCUCCCACCAAUCUCUAUCUUUCACUGCUUUCACCUUCUAUCUCUGUACUUGGUUUAGUCGUUCAUUUCCUAUUCAUAGAUUAUCGAGCGAUACAUAUGAAGCUCCUUUUGGGAGCUACGGGUCUCAUAUCAGUAUCGAGUCUCCUUAGCCUUAAUCGGUAGGGAGACAAGCAGUACUGAAAAUCGAUCUCUUCUUUAUUUUCUUUAUUUAGAGCACAAUCCUGGAACAGGGAUUUGAGUUCCACAAUGACUGUAAGUAAGAAUUGGAGAUCUAGCACAAAGAACCCAUUUUUCUUUCAUAUGAGAAUGUUGCUAAACAAGAGAGUCAAAACUGCCUUCUUAUUUGCUUUC